rnacentral:rRNA from 1 species
AUUGAACGCUGGCGGCAUGCCUUACACAUGCAAGUCGAACGGCAGCACGGGUGCUUGCACCUGGUGGCGAGUGGCGAACGGGUGAGUACUACAUCGGAACAUGUCCUGUAGUGGGGGAUAGCCCGGCGAAAGCCGGAUUAAUACCGCAUACGAUCUACGGAUGAAAGCGGGGGACCUUCGGGCCUCGCGCUUUAGGGUUGGCCGAUGGCUGAUUCGCUAGUUGGUGGGGUAAAGGCCUACCAAGGCGACGAUCAGUAGCUGGUCUGAGAGGACGACCAGCCACACUGGGACUGAGACACGGCCCAGACUCCUACGGGAGGCAGCAGUGGGGAAUUUUGGACAAUGGGCGAAAGCCUGAUCCAGCAAUGCCGCGUGUGUGAAGAAGGCCUUCGGGUUGUAAAGCACUGUUGUCCGGAAAGAAAUCCUUGGCCCUAAUACGGUCGGGGGAUGACGGUACCGGAAGAAUAAGCACCGGCUAACUACGUG